UGGUUAAGCUAUAAAGAGCGCAGGGUGGAUGCUUGGCACUAAGAGCCGAUGAAAGACGUGAUAAGCUGCGAAAAGCUUCGGGGA
rnacentral:rRNA from 1 species